GCGGGCAUAGUUUAGUGGUAGAAUACCAGCUUCCCAAGCUGGCUGUGCGGGUUCGAUUCCCGUUGCCCGCUCCA
rnacentral:tRNA from 1 species